rnacentral:lncRNA from 1 species
UUCUCAGCCCAGGGUGUUAGCCACAAGACAAAUGAUCCUCUUGAAGGCCUCUGAGGAAAAUACCGUCUGUGGAUGCUUCACUCAGUGGUUGACAGUAAACAGAAGAAAGGAUGAGAUGCUGCAAUACCACUGUAAUGAGAUUACCAGAAUGUCCCAUCUCCAGGAAGUCGUAUUGGAGAAUAUAAGCUUUCGCUAUUUUGGAAGUAUUGUCACAUUACAGUCCUACAAGCGAAGAAAGCAAAUGGCAACUUCAUAAUUGCAGGUCUAGUAAGGAAGUAUUUUUAUCAUCUUAAGGACAACGUUUGUGUAUGGAUAGAGUGGUUCUCCUGGAUGGAAACAAUAUUCAUCAUUACUGACCUAGCUGGUGAGGCAAGCUGUGGUGCUCCCUGCUUACCUUCAGGAGGGAGGUAAGCAUGCGAAUCGCAGGGAAGAGAAUAGGGAUGGGGGGG